AGCAGCCGCGGUAAUUCCAGCUCCAAUAGCGUAUAUUAAAGUUGUUGCAGUUAAAAAGCUCGUAGUUGAAUUUCGGGAUCAGUAGGUUGGUCAUGCCUUUGGUAUGUACUGGCCUCACUGAUUCCUCCCUCUUGAAGAACUGUAAUGUUAUUAAUUUGGUGUUGCGGGGAAUCAGGACUGUUACUUUGAAAAAAUUAGAGUGUUUAAAGCAGGCUUACGCUUGAAUACAUUAGCAUGGAAUAAUGAAAUAGGACGUUUGAUCCUAUUUUGUUGGUUUCUAGGAUUGACGUAAUGAUUAAUAGGGAUAGUUGGGGGCAUUAGUAUUCAAUUGUCAGAGGUGAAAUUCUUGGAUUUAUUGAAGACUAACUACUGCGAAAGCAUUUUGCCAAGGAUGUUUUCAUUAAUCAAGAACGAAAGUUAGGGGAUCGAAGACGAUCAGAUACCGUCGUAGUCUUAACCAUAAACUAUGCCGACUAGGGAUCGGAUGAUGUUAAUUUUUUAAUGACUCAUUCGGCGCCUU
rnacentral:rRNA from 1 species